rnacentral:lncRNA from 1 species
UGUCAUCUUUAAUGGACAUCAUGUGAAGCUAAAAGAAGCAGCCAUAGAGCACGCCUCUUCUGCCGUGUAAAUAUCAUGAAAAUACCACUUCAAACUCCAGUCAAAAAAAAAAUAACUAGCGUCCAGCACCUUCUCUUCCUCCACCAAAUAGCUGCGCAAACAGCCACCAAACUACUCCUAAAUAUCUACUAAAAACCACCCAAAACACAGCAAUAAAAUGACCACCAGUCAGCCACCGAAGCAGCCCCUUUUCUCCGUCUAAAACCAACCCAAACCAGCACCAAAAAUCAGUACUGAAACCCAGCUGAAAACGUUCCAAAAUCGCCCCAAAGUUCUGUCCGUCUCCGAGUUCGAGGUUGCGUAUCCGAGUUCCGGUCGUGGUUUAUUCAUAUUUCAAUUGGAUUUCAUUGUUGCAUUGACGGCUAGAUCGGAUUAUGCGGUACAUCUUGCUGGAGGUACAAGAUCUACUUCUUUAUUAUUACUCAAAAAAGUUCUACUUCUUUAUUAAGCAUCCAUAGGUUUUAACAUUCAUUGAUCUUUGAAGAAAUCAGCCAUGUAAACUUGGUUCUUACUGUGUUUGUUGCUCUGGGGUAUUUCAUCAGGUUUGCCUGAAAACCUAAGAACUAGUACCAGAUUGACUCUCAAUUUCUAAAUUGUAAAAAUAAAUUUGGGAGGGGAAAUGACCUUUUUUGCUUUAGGCAAGGAUGUAUAUUGCUCGCCAUGCGUUGCAUCUCAUGUGCUAUGUACGUCGCUAGUAUUUUCGCUAAGGACAAAGUAAUAGUGAUUUAGUGGCAUAGGUAUUAAAAACAAUGAUAUAUAGCAUGCAUUAUAAUUUACGUUUUGGGAUCCUUGUCAGAAGUAAUAAUAGUAAUCAAUAAUGCAAUUGCAACAUUUAAACAUCCAUUCAAGCACCUAUUUUUAAUGCAUAAGUGAGUUUUACCUACAAGCAGUAUAAAGCAUUCUUGAACUGGUCAAGCGUAGUUUCAUCUGCUUGCUGUAUUGGGAAAAAUUGUAUUUAAAGGUGAUGUGUCGAGACACGUAGACUGGUCAAAUGGUCAAAGAAUUACAACUAGCCAAGAGGCACGAGUUGCAAUAGAUACGAGCAAAUGACAGAAGAAGAGGCACGGGCAGUUAUUCAAAUAACUCAACGCUCGUACCUAUCUAAGUCAUUUAUGUCCGAGAAUCAAAAGGAAUAAAUCUGACAAGAGAAAAGAGUGCAGAUACGGCAUUUAAUAGGCAAUA